CACGUCACAAAAGAAGGACUUAGAGCGAAAAUAUCCCUCUCCAUACCAAAACGUGCGGAUCUAGCCGCAUCUGGAUCGGGUCAUCGGGUAUGGCUCAAUACGGCACCGUUUUAGAGCCAUUGGAAUGAGCUUCAAACGGUGUCGUUUUAUGGUCUGCAUAAAGCUAAAAAUAAAACAAAUGUAUUAAGCCAUUUUACAAUAGAUUUGCAAACCCUAGCUUCCCCCCUCGUCGUUCUCAAGUCUUCCCCUUCAAACUCCGAUUGCGACAGAGUGACAAGGAUUUCACGGUGCUAAAAUAAAGGUAAGCCUUCGCCUAUCUCUUUUCUCAAACAAUAAGCAAACAUCAACGAAAAAAAAAACUAAGGAAAUAGGAAAUAAACUAAAUGAAAAGAAGAAUCAAAUCACCUUCGAAAAUUAUGAUUUUUUACUGCUUUUUUUUCAAUUUCUGAUUUUCGUCCCCUGUUACAGCAUUGAGUCUGCUUUUUAUAGCAGACUAUGGAAAAAGAAAAAGGUAAGAAACAUCUAAUUUAAAACGCAUCAUUUGCUCGCUGAUUUUUUCGAUUUUUUUGCUAUUCUACCUAUACUGUUUGUUGUCAUCUUUACUGUGCAGGUACAGGCUUGGAGGUAGCGCACGCGUGCGGUGGUGCAGCACGCGCGAGGGAGGCCUUGGCUGCUGCGGCGCUGAGAGCUGGAUGCUGCUCUAGAAACCCUAGGGAUUUCUGAAAACUGCUUCGGGCUUCAAUGUAAUUGGACCUUAUAAUUUUGGAUUUUAUUUUUGGGCUAUGGACUGUUUAAUGUUGGACUUUUAUUUUUUUAUUUAGUUUUUUAUUGUUAUCGGGCCCGGGCAAAAAUUGGGCCUUGCAGUAUAUUUUGUACAAUGAAAUACUCGAUAAUAAGUAUUCUAAGGAUUGUACCUCUGAGAGAAAUA
rnacentral:lncRNA from 1 species